rnacentral:rRNA from 1 species
GAUGAACGCUAGCGGGAGGCCUAACACAUGCAAGCCGAGCGGUAGAGUUCCUUCGGGAACUUGAGAGCGGCGUACGGGUGCGUAACACGUGUGCAACCUACCUUUAUCUGGGGGAUAGCCUUUCGAAAGGAAGAUUAAUACCCCAUAAUAUAAUGAUUGGCAUCAAUUAUUAUUGAAAACUCCGGUGGAUAGAGAUGGGCACGCGCAAGAUUAGAUAGUUGGUGAGGUAACGGCUCACCAAGUCAAUGAUCUUUAGGGGUCCUGAGAGGGAGAUCCCCCAAACUGGUACUGAGACACGGACCAGACUCCUACGGGAGGCAGCAGUGAGGAAUAUUGGACAAUGGGUGAAAGCCUGAUCCAGCCAUCCCGCGUGAAGGAUGACGGUCCUAUGGAUUGUAAACUUCUUUUGUACAGGGAUAAACCUACUCUCGUGAGGGUAGCUGAAGGUACUGUACGAAUAAGCACCGGCUAACUCCGUG